UACGUAGGGUGCAAGCGUUGUCCGGAAUUAUUGGGCGUAAAGAGCUCGUAGGCGGUUCGUCGCGUCGGCUGUGAAAUCCCGAGGCUCAACCUCGGGUCUGCAGUCGAUACGGGCGGACUGGAGUUCGGCAGGGGAGACUGGAAUUCCUGGUGUAGCGGUGAAAUGCGCAGAUAUCAGGAGGAACACCGGAGGCGAAGGCGGGUCUCUGGGCCGAUACUGACGCUGAGGAGCGAAAGCGUGGGGAGCGAACAGG
rnacentral:rRNA from 1 species